rnacentral:rRNA from 1 species
CACUCCUGCGGGAGGCAGCAGUGGGGAAUAUUGCACAAUGGGCGCAAGCCUGAUGCAGCCAUGCCGCGUGUAUGAAGAAGGCCUUCGGGUUGUAAAGUACUUUCAGCGGGGAGGAAGGCAAUACGGUUAAUAACCGUGUUGAUUGACGUUACCCGCAGAAGAAGCACCGGCUAACUCCGUGCCAGCAGCCGCGGUAAUACGGAGGGUGCAAGCGUUAAUCGGAAUUACUGGGCGUAAAGCGCACGCAGGCGGUCUGUCAAGUCGGAUGUGAAAUCCCCGGGCUCAACCUGGGAACUGCAUUCGAAACUGGCAGGCUUGAGUCUUGUAGAGGGGGGUAGAAUUCCAGGUGUAGCGGUGAAAUGCGUAGAGAUCUGGAGGAAUACCGGUGGCGAAGGCGGCCCCCUGGACAAAGACUGACGCUCAGGUGCGAAAGCGUGGGGAGCAAACAGGAUUAGAAACCCCAGUAGUCCCAUGA